ensembl:snoRNA
ACUGCCCUCAAAAAACUCGGCAGAUGUGGCCACUGUGUGACAUGUGCGCCAGUAGGUGGCAGAGAGGAGAGCAGCCGUGUCUACAGUGCUCUGACCUAUGACCUUCUGAAGGAUUAGCAGCCUAACAAC